CAGCACAAGCACUCCGCGUACAGCAAAGCCAGGUACAAACAGGAUAACAAAGGACAGAAAUCAAAGGCAUGAUGCAUUGAAGCCUACUAAAUGUUUGAGAAGAAAAGCUUCUUAAGAAAAAAGGCUUCAACACCAAGCUGCCGUUAUACAAGCCAGGUUAUAAGAAAGUGGGGUUGGUAAAUUACUUUCUGAGGAAUCUUGUGUCCUUUAAGAAGAGUUCAUCUGUUGGUAAAAGCUGUAUUGCAUCACCUGAGCUCAGCUCGAGGGAGCCAUUUGCAGCCAAACUUGAUUAUUUCAUCACCACCACCU
rnacentral:lncRNA from 1 species